rnacentral:rRNA from 1 species
UACGUAGGUCCCGAGCGUUGUCCGGAUUUAUUGGGCGUAAAGCGAGCGCAGGUGGUUUAUUAAGUCUGGUGUAAAAGGCAGUGGCUCAACCAUUGUAUGCAUUGGAAACUGGUAGACUUGAGUGCAGGAGAGGAGAGUGGAAUUCCAUGUGUAGCGGUGAAAUGCGUAGAUAUAUGGAGGAACACCGGUGGCGAAAGCGGCUCUCUGGACUGUAACUGACACUGAGGCGCGAAAGCGUGGGGAGCAAACAGG